AACGAACGCUGGCGGCGUGCUUAACACAUGCAAGUCGAACGCGAAAUUUUUCUUCGGAAAGAGAGUAGAGUGGCGCACGGGUGAGUAACGCGUAAGUAAUCUACCCUGGUAUCUGGGAUAACCCACCGAAAGGUGUGCUAAUACCGGAUACGCUGAGUAAUCAGGAAAGGUGGCCUCUUCAUGAAAGCUACUGUACCAGGAGGAGCUUGCGUACCAUUAGCUAGUUGGUAGGGUAAUGGCCUACCAAGGCAACGAUGGUUAGCGGGUCUGAGAGGAUGAUCCGCCACACUGGAACUGGAACACGGACCAGACUCCUACGGGAGGCAGCAGUGAGGAAUAUUGCGCAAUGGGGGAAACCCUGACGCAGCGACGCCGCGUGGAUGAUGAAGGCCUUCGGGUCGUAAAAUCCU
rnacentral:rRNA from 1 species